UUAAAUGUGUUCACUGAAGAGUAAGAAUGACCCCUGAACAGGUGCACAAAUCAAGCUGCCAGUUUUGUUUCUUAAUAGUAAGUGUAACUCAAGGCACAAUUUGCUACAAAGAUAAACCGAAGCUAGGCAUCUAAAUCUAUUUAUUUCCUGAAUUAAAUUCAACAGAUGAGGUCACAACUGUAUACACAGUUGUGUAUACAUGGUGUUAGAAGAAGGAUGCAGCUUCUUGUGGAAACCUCCGAUUGCCUUGUUAAUGCCUUGUUCACAAAGCUCAUUAGCCCCCUGUUGUUUUCAUUUAGCAUAAUGAGCCACUCUGAAAUGUAUUUAUUUUUUGAUUAAAGCAAGUAGUGCUGACAGCAGACACUGUCUGGGGGGGAAAUGCAGUGGAACAAAACAUUAUUGGUGUCCUGAGUGCACAGGGACUCAGUGGCUCUGCCCAGCCUCAUCCAGCUCUUGCUGUUGUCCCUCAGGAAAAGGAAUCUGGGAGCUGAGGGUGGCCACAACACCAGCCAGGUCAAGACCUCACCAACAGGACACGGUCCAGUGACCAUCCAGCAAGGACAUGGGACACAACGUCAGCCCAGGAAACCCAAACAGCAGUUCAGGAACAGAAUUAGCAGCAAAGACACCCACGAGUCACCUCUGUCAUCCCAGCAUGAGGAGGACAUGGUUAGCAGCUGGAUUGACACAAAGACUCAGGCUGACUGGAGACAGGGAGGUGUUGGAUCACCUCCUCCUCGAGGCUGAUGGCAGUAGACAGACACUGAAGCACGGGGAGGAACUCUUCUGACUGAAUAUCUCACACGUGGCAUGGGACAGGAGGCUCAGUCAGAAUGAGUGUCCACUGUCUGACAGCUCUCAUGGAUUUUUCUGAAUUUUGCCACAUUUUGGGGGGUGCCUUGAAGCCCCUGGUUCUGGAAUGAUGGAAUCAUAUUUUUUAAGGCCUUAUGUUUCUGAAGAAGAGAGAGAAAACCAGUGUCUCUGAAGACACAAACAAUAUUUGUUGGGGAUCUAUAACUAUGUAUCUGUUUGUUACUCCUGUUUUGCUUUGUAUUUAAACAAUGUAAUGAUUCAUGGAGACCUGA